GAGAAAGUAUGCAAGAACUGCUAAUUCAUGCUCCCAUGUGUAAUAACAUGGCUUUCUUA
rnacentral:tRNA from 1 species